UACGUAGGGGGCAAGCGUUGUCCGGAUUUAUUGGGCGUAAAGAGCGUGUAGGCGGCCUGACAGGUCUGCUGUGAAAACUCGAGGCUCAACCUCGAGAUGUCGGCGGAAACCGUCUGGCUAGAGUCCGGAAGAGGAGAGUGGAAUUCCUGGUGUAGCGGUGAAAUGCGCAGAUAUCAGGAAGAACACCUAUGGCGAAGGCGGCUCUCUGGGACGGUACUGACGCUGAGACGCGAAAGCGUGGGGAGCGAAC
rnacentral:rRNA from 1 species